UACGUAGGGCGCAAGCGUUAUCCGGAAUCACUGGGCGUAAAGGGUGCGUAGGCGGGUCUUUAAGUCAGGGGUGAAAUCCUGGAGCUCAACUCCAGAACUGCCUUUGAUACUGAGGAUCUUGAGUUCGGGAGAGGUGAGUGGAACUGCGAGUGUAGAGGUGAAAUUCGUAGAUAUUCGCAAGAACACCAGUGGCGAAGGCGGCUCACUGGCCCGAUACUGACGCUGAGGCACGAAAGCGUGGGGAGCAAACAGG
rnacentral:rRNA from 1 species